GCAGUAUACACAGUGAGCGCCCACUAAGCGCUGGGCUGGGGGGCUCCAACCCGGAACAGAAGCCGGCCACAACCCUCGCUCCCUGUCGUCGCGGCCGUUAUAGGCCGAAAGCAAAAUCCAAUCCCGGGCCAUUCUGGGCGGAUUGCCAGGACCUGGAUCGCAACGCUUGGGAAGACCCCCGCCCCGCCCAGCGAUAUCCGUGCCCUGAGUCCCAGUGACGGCCCCCUGGACAGCGGAGCCUGCUGCAGCGACGCGACGCGCUAGUACAAAUCUCAAAGCAAGGCUUGUUGGACAGAUAAAUGAAGAUGAGCCCAAGAGCCCAGGAGAGGGACCGGGAACAGCAGGGCCUCCGUGACUCACACAAGCUUCAUCCCUGAACCAAGGACGCAGCCUGCCAACAAUGGCCCCAAGCCACACCCCGCCACAGGGGGAACUGAUGCUGCGCACAUAGCAGGCGUAGUAUGAAGGCGGCAUGCUGCACAAUUUCGCUGUUUGUUUCUUGGAAUAAUAAUUUUUAGGGGGCUGCUUCUAGAUUCCAAAGGAAAGAGAAAGGAAAUAUGCCCCAAACUCAGGCUUUCUGCCUGGCCCUGCCUGACUCACUGAGCUGCCUUGGACAAAUGAUUCAUUCACUGGCCUUGACCUCAGUGGGUUUGGCCACCCAUUGAGAGUGAAGUCACACCUCCAGCACUGCGAUGCAUUUAUUGAUCCACUCACCUAGCUUCGUGGCAGGCAAGAAACAGGCCUGUGUGAGCCUGCCCGGGAUCAGGGACAGGAGAGCACACAAGUGUUUCUGGAUAUCCUCAAGCUGUAGCCUGGCUGCUCGAUUCUUCCCUAGGAGAUCCUCCGGGGGCCUGAAUUAGUUUGCUAGGGCUUCCGUGACAAAGCGCCACAGACUGAGCGGCUUAAAUAAAAAUGUGUCAUCUCAUGGUUCUGGAGGCUGGAAGUCUGAGAUCAAGGUGCUGGGGAUUAGGACUUGAACAUAUGUUUGUUGGGGGCACACUUCAACCCACCGGAGGGCCUGUGCCCCAAAGAGAGCCUCCUUCUGUGUGCAGUGAAGGUGUGAGUUCUAAACAUGAGAAAAAAACACCCCUUGUUCUUGGAUAGGGUGACUCGAUACCACAAACAGGUCCAACUGGCCCAGGUAAAUAUAUUCGUUUAACAUGAUCGUCACAAAAAUAUUGAGGGUAGUUGUUUUUUUCUGGAGUUAAACAAGUUGAUUCUGGAGUUGAUGUGAAAUGAUAAACAAGCAAAAAUAGCCAGAAUUGUUUUUUUUAAAAAAGGGCAGUGGGGUGGAGGUAAGCCCUACCAGACAUUAAAACACACCAUAAAGCUUCUGUAAUUGGCAGGGCACAGUGGCUUAUGCCUGUAACCCCAGCACUUUGAGAGGCUGUGAUGGGAGGAUUGCUUGAGCCCAGGAGUUUCAGAGCAGCCUGAGCAACAUAGCGAGACUCCAUCUCUACAAAAAUAAAAAAUUAAAAGUUAGCUAAGUGUGGUGGUGUGCACUCGUAAUCUCAGCUAUUCCAGAAGUUGAGGUGGAAGGCUUGCUUAAGCCAAGGAAUCUGAGGCUGCAUUGAGCCAUGAUCACACCACUGCACUCCAGCCUGGGGGAUGGAGUGAGAUCACGUCUCUAAAUGUUUUUUUUUUGAGACAGAGUCUCACUCUGUCACCCAGGCUGGAGUGCCGUGGUGUGAUUUCAUCUCACCGCAACCUCUGCCGCCCAUGUUCAAGCAAUUCUCCUUCCUCGGCCUCCCAAGUAGCUGGGAUUAUAGGCGCCUGCCACUGCGCCCAGCUAAUUUUUGUAGUUUUUAGUAGAGACGGGGUUUCAUCAUCUUCGCCAGGCUGGUCUUGAACUCCUGACCUCAUGAUCCAGCCGCCUCAGCCUCCCAAAUUGCUGGGACUGUUACAGGCGUCAGCCACCGCGCCCGGCCUCUAAAUUUUUUUUUUAAUGUUUUAAAGCCUCUGUAAUAAAAAUGGUGUACCUGGAAACGAAUAGCGAGACAGACCAA